CUGUUGCCUUCAGAAUUCCAAAGAGAGAGUCAAUUAAAGAAUUCAACAUAUUUUCCACAGGCCCUUGUUUUUGGCCCUACCUUGUACUGUGUCUAGCAGUUCAAGACUUUACCCAAUCAGUUUGCAUUCCACAGCUUUUCAACACCUUGAAACCAGUUUCCCUUAGGCAGCAGUAACUAUUCUUUCCCUCCUCAACAGACAUCAUUUAUAUUCAGAUUCCAGAUGCCUUGAACACCUCUGAGUAUCAGCUCAAAAUGUCCCCAGCAGGGACAGGAAGGAAAGAGCCAGAGAGAGGGACCUCAACCCAAUUUAUAUCCUGUCUACCUCAGCACAUAAUGACAGAAAAUGAGGAAACUGAGAGAAAGGGAAAAUAAUUUGCAUGGAGUCACAUAUCUAGUGUCUGAGGCUUGACUUAAACUCAUACCUUCUGAGCUCCUGGUCUUCUGGAUUCUUCCUCCAGCAAUCUUACCUACUAUGCUACCCAGCGGCUCACUAAUGCAAUCUAAAAACAACAAAAAUAACAAUACUGUGAUAUCAAAUAUACAAUGUGAUAUCAAAUAUACUAUAUUUAAAGCUUUGGAGGGAGGUAAAAAGUAGGGAAGACAGACAUUUGAAUUGCUCUCUCUUAUUUGUUCAAGUAAUACUAGUAAAGCAUUAUUCAAAAAAGCUUAUGGU